rnacentral:rRNA from 1 species
UGCUUUAUUUUGGAUUUAAAAUUUUCAAAAUUAAUAACGUAAGAUUAAAAUAAUGAUAUUAUCUUACUAUUAGUGUCGUCCAAAACAGGUGCCAGAAGACACGGUAACGCCAGAGACGCAAACGUUAAUCAUCUUGAAAAGGCGUAAAGGGUUUGUAGGCUGUUUUAAAAAUUUUUAAAACCAAAUUUUACUAUUAUAUAUUUAUAUUUUAAUAAAUAAUAUAUUUAAUUUUAAAAAUGAAUUAAAACUAGAAUCUAAAAGAGGAGGGAGUCUGUAGAACAUAUAGAGUAGGGUUAAAAUCUGUAAAUCCUAUAUAGAAUACUAAAGGGCGAAGGCAAUUCUCCAAUAAAGAUUGACGCUGAGGAACGAAGGGGAG